rnacentral:lncRNA from 1 species
GUGCUGGGGAUUGAACUCAGUGCCUUGUGCAUGCUAGACAAGCACUCUACCAACUGAGCUAUACCCCAUCCCUGUUUUGGUUUUUUAAUAUUUUUUUUAGUUAUAGAUGCACACAAUAUUUUUAUGUGGUGCUGAAGAUCUAACCCAGUGCUUCGUGCAUUCAAGGCAUGUGCUCUACCACUGAGCCACAACCCCAGGCCCUUCCAUCUGUUUUUAUAAAUAAAACAGCCACAUCCCUUCAUAAAGAAAUGCUCUAUGGUCAAUUGCAUGCCACACAAAGCAGAGUUGAAUAGUUGUGACACAGAGAGUAGGGUGUGCAUAACAAAAUACCAUCUCUUCCUUUACCAAGAAAGUUCACAAAUUCUUGGCUUAAAGCAAUAAUUGGCAUACAUCCAUCACAGUUCAACCGAAGGCUUUGCUCCUAGUGGUCACUCAGUAGAUUCAAGCUGAUGGUGAAGCCAUAUCUCAGGUGUUGCUAAUAAUUGUGCCCAUAAGGAGAGUGUCUCUGGUAGUCAAAUUGGUCCAGACAUGCAAUGUGUGCCAGGUUACAUUACCCCUUCAACCAUAAGAGGAUCAAGAAAUGCUAUUCUAGCAGAUGCCUGGUAAGAAACUGGGUGAACCCAAUAUAUCUGGUGAACAUAUAUAGCUAUUGUGCUUUCACUUCCUAUAGUAUGUCAUCUCGAUUCCAUUUCCUUGAUUUUGUGAAUUCUUGCACUGUCAGCAGGUCCAGAAGACCAAUAAAUAUAAUGCAAAACUGUUUUUAGGCUGACUUCCUGCGCAGUUCAGUGCCGUGAUCUCAGUAAGCCAAGUUUGUCUAUUUCCUACUUGUCAGAAAGGGGUCUGAGACUGUUUCUGUCAGUUUCU